rnacentral:tRNA from 1 species
GCAUUGGUGUCUCAGUGGUGGAAUUCACACCUUCCACGCAGGAGACCUGGGUUUGAUUCCCUGCCAAUGCA